CCUACGGGACGCACCAGUGGGGAAUAUUGCACAAUGGGCGCAAGCCUGAUGCAGCCAUGCCGCGUGUAUGAAGAAGGCCUUCGGGUUGUAAAGUACCUUCAGCGGGGAGGAAGGCGAUAAGGUUAAUAACCUUGUCGAUUGACGUUACCCGCAGAAGAAGCACCGGCUAACUCCGUGCCAGCAGCCGCGGUAAUACGGAGGGUGCAAGCGUUAAUCGGAAUUACUGGGCGUAAAGCGCACGCAGGCGGUUGAUUGAGUCAGAUGUGAAAUCCCCGGGCUUAACCCGGGAAUUGCAUCUGAUACUGGUCAGCUAGAGUCUUGUAGAGGGGGGUAGAAUUCCAUGUGUAGCGGUGAAAUGCGUAGAGAUGUGGAGGAAUACCGGUGGCGAAGGCGGCCCCCUGGACAAAGACUGACGCUCAGGUGCGAAAGCGUGGGGAGCAAACAGGAUUAGAUACCCCAGUAGUC
rnacentral:rRNA from 1 species